rnacentral:rRNA from 1 species
CUCGUAGGCUGCCCGCUAGGUCCGGGGUCAAAUCCGGGGGCUCAACCCCCGCACGCCCCGGAUACCGGCGGGCUUGAGUCGGGUAGGGGGAGGCGGAAUUCCAGGUGUAGCGGUGGAAUGCGCAGAUAUCUGGAAGAACACCGGUGGCGAAGGCGGCCUUCUGGGCCUCGACUGACGCUGAGGAGCGAAAGCUGGGGGAGCGAACA